rnacentral:rRNA from 1 species
GGAGAAAUUCAAUAUUGUCCUUAACAGACAAUGUGCACUUUUCUCUUAGUAAGACGCUGUGAUCCAUUAGAAAUUGGACCAUUCCAAUGGUUAUUGGGCUGCCAAUAGGUACGGUAUGAAGUUUAGUGGUGCAAAUAACGAAAUCUUUAACGGUUGCGUAUAUUGCCCGUUGAGCGUAUCCGUUUCCUGAUGUAGCUGUCUGAUGGAUUUUAAUGGCCAUAUUAUCGAUGUCUUGUACAUUGCCCAUUUCGAUGGGAUUGGAUAUGUGCCCGAUCAACAGCGGUUUUGAUUUGUGAUACCUUUGGGACCCGUCUUGAAACACGGACCAAGGAGUCUAUCUAGUAUGCAAGUAAAUGGGUAUAUGAAACCUAUUUGCAUAAAAAACUUAACUUUUUUAUAUGGGAUUACGUGUCACUCAUUGUGGUGAUUCCUCCAUCCCGGGGUAUUUUCAUCAACAUAUACGCAAGUAUAUGGAAAAUAUACCAUGAGCAUACUGGAUAUGACCCGAAAGAUGGUGAACUAUGCCUGAUCAGGUUGAAGUCAGGGGAAACCCUGAUGGAGGACCGAAGCAAUUCUGACGUGCAAAUCGAUUGUCAGAAUUGGGCAUAGGGGCGAAAGACCAAUCGAACCAUCUAGUA